UAAGAGCAUAGAGGUAGCGGUGCAUCAAAGUAGAUUCCUGAGUCGGCAGACUGUGACGGAAUUGAAAGGUAAUCAUCGCCGAAUGGAUUCCCAGGCAUGGGAAGAUCAUGGGGUUAUUAGAGAACAUCUAUAACACUCCUACGAAAGUAGAGGAGCUAUCAAAAUA
rnacentral:ncRNA from 2 species